CCUACGGGAGGCAGCAGUGGGGGAUAUUGCACAAUGGGGGGAACCCUGAUGCAGCGACGCCGCGUGGGUGAAAGAGUGCUUCGGCAUGUAAAGCCCUAUCGGCAGGGAAGAAGCAAGACGGUACCUGGCUAAGAAGCCCCGGCUAACUACGUGCCAGCAGCGGCGGUAAUACGUAGGGGCCGAGCGUUAUCCGGGUUCACUGGGUGUAAAGGGAGCGUAGACGGGCAUGCAAGCCAGGGGUGAAAGCCCGGGGGCCAACGCAGGGACUGCCCUUGGAACUGCAUGGCUGGAGUGCGGGUGGGGCAGGCGGAAGGCGUGGUGUAGCGGUGAAAUGCGUAGAUAUCAGGAGGAACACCGGCGGCGAAGGCGGCCUGCGGGACCGCGACUGACGUUGAGGCUCGAAAGCGUGGGGAGCGAACAGGAUUAGGUACCCCUGUAGUC
rnacentral:rRNA from 1 species